rnacentral:sRNA from 1 species
UAGGAAAGUCAUAAAUAUAUAAAUUAAAAUAUAUUUACUUUUAAUUAAUAGUAAAUUAUAUUUUAUAAUAAAGUAAUAAAUAUAAAUAAAUAAUAAUGGAAAUAUAAUACUUAUUAUUAUUAUUAUAAUAAAUUAUAUUUUUAAUACUUAAACAAUUAAAUUUUAUAUUAAAUAUGCAUUAAGUAUUAUUUAUACCUAAAAGGUAUAUGAUUAUUAAAUAAAUAUUAUAAUAAUAAAGUAAGUAUAAUAAAUAUCUAAAUAAAUAUAUUAUUAAAUAAUGAAUAAAUAUUAAUAUAUAUAAUUCGUAAUACCUAUCUUUUUAUAUCCUUUUUUACUAUUAUAAUAGUAUUAAUUAAAAAGAGGAAUACGAUUAAAUAUAAAGUUAUAUAAUAGUUAUAUAUACAUAUUUAUAUUAUUACUAUUUUUUAUUUACUUUGCACUAUCCAUCUAUUAAAAUUAAUUCUAUUUUUAUAAAUGGAUAAUAAUAAAAUAGAAUAAUAUAUUAAUUAUAUAUUUUUAUUAAUAUCUUAAUUUUAAUAUAUAAUUAAAUAAUAUAAUUUUCCUUUUUUAAUAUAUUAUUUAAAUAAGGAAAUAAUAUUAUAAUAUACAAAAAUAUGCUUAA